ACAUUCGAAAGAAUGUUUUAAAGCAAAAAUCAAGUCGAUCUAAGCACUUGAAGUGAAGUUAUGACUCAAGUUACUUGAAAGUGUCCCUCCACUUGGACAUGAUUUCCAAAAACUUGAAUAAAAAAACCUCUAAUUCAUGGAUUUAUUUUAUUUUUUCAAUGGAAUUAAAAAACAUUCCAAAGAAUCUUUUAAAGCAAGAAUCAAGUCGAUCUGAGCACUAGAAGUGGAGUUAUGGUCCAAGUUACCUGAAAGUGUCCCUGCUCUUGGACACGAUUUCCAAAAACUUGAAUAAAAAAACUUCUAAUGCAUGGAUUUUUUUAAUUUUUUUAAUGGAAGUAAAAAACAUUCCAAGGAAUCCUCUAAAGCAAGAAUCAAGUCGAUCUGAGCACCAGAAGUGGAGUUAUGAUCCGAGUUACAUGAAAGUGUCCCUGCUCUUAGACACGAUUUCCAAAAACUUGAAUAAAAAAACUUCCAAUGCAUAGAUUUUUUUAAUUUUUUUAAUGGAAGUUAAGGAACAUUCCAAAGAAUCUUUUAAAGCAAAAAUCAAGUCGAUCUAAGCACUAGAAGUGGUGUUAUAGUCCAAGUUACCUGAAGGUGUCCCUGCCCUUGGACAUGAUUUCCAAAAACUUGAAUAAAAAAACUUCUAAUGCAUGGAUUUUUUUAAUUUUUUUAAUGGAAGUUAAAGAACAUUCCAAAGAAUCUUUUAAAGCAAAAAUCAAGUCGAUCUAAGCACUAGAAGUGAAGUUAUGACUCAAGUUACUUGAAAGUGUCCCUCCACUUGGACAUGAUUUCCAAAAACUUAAAUAAAAAAACCUCUAAU